AGCCAGUCUUGGUGCUCUGUGUUCACCUGGUUCAUCUGAGGGACUGCAUCUACCCUGCCCUUGCCAUAGUUCCUGCCCUGUUUGCUUCUCCUGUUGCUGCUAGUGGACAUUAG
ensembl:misc_RNA